rnacentral:rRNA from 1 species
UAAAAAAUAAUUAUUUAAUAUAUUUGAAAAUUUAGUUUUUUAAUAAAAUCAAUUUUAUUUAAUAAAAGUUUUAGUAAUGGUUAUUGAAAAAAUAAUUUAAAUUAUAAUUUAUUAGUAUUGUAAAAGAAAAUUGAAAUAUUUGAAAAUAAUUUAGUUUAAAAGUAAAUUUUAUAAAUUGUACCUUGUGUAUCAGGGUUUAUUAAUUAAAAUAUACAUAUUUAUAUUUCCCGAUUUUAAGAGAUUUAAUAAAAUAUAUUAGUUUACGUAUUAUAGUAAUUAAAAAUAUUUUAUUUGUAAUGAAAUGUUAUUCGUUCUUAAAUAUAUCUGGUUUUUUAAGAAAUAAAUUUAAUUUAUAUAAUAAAAAGUAUUUAUUUAUUUAUUUAAAUAAAUAAUUUAUAUUAUAAAUGUUUUAAGGGAUUAGCUUUAAGAUAUAAUCUAUAAUAAUUAUUUAAGUUUAAAAAUUGUAGGCUUAGAAAUAGUUAGCAAUAAAAAAAAUGUUAUAAUUUAUUUUAAAAUUUAAAAUAAUUUUUAUAAAUUUAGAUUUUUUAUUAAAAUUUAAUUUAUAAUAAAUAUAAAUUAGUAAUAAUGAUAAAAUUAGUAUAAUAAUUUGUAUAGAUAUAAUUAAUUUAAAGAUUAAAUUAAGGAACUCGGCAAAUAAAUACUCGCCUGUUUAACAAAAACAUGUCUUUUUGAAAAUAAUUUAAAGUCUAAUCUGCCCACUGAAUUUUAAAGGGCCGCGGUAUUUUGACCGUGCAAAGGUAGCAUAAUAAUUAGUCUUUUAAUUGAGGGCUAGAAUGAAUGAUUGAACGAAGUAUUAACUGUCUCAAUUUAAAUGAAAAUUGAAUUUAACUUUUAAGUCAAAAGGCUUAAAUGCAAUUAAAGGACGAGAAGACCCUAUAGAGCUUUAUAUUUAAUUAAUAAUUAAUUUAUAGAAAUUUUUAAUUUUUAUUAAGUAAAAUAUUUUGUUGGGGUGACAAGAAGAUUUAAAAAACUCUUUUUAUUUUAAAACAUUAAUUAAUGAAUUUUUGAUCCAUUUAUAGUGAUUAAAAGACUAAGUUACCUUAGGGAUAACAGCGUAAUCUUUUUUAAGAGUUCUUAUCGACAAAAAGGGUUGCGACCUCGAUGUUGGAUUAAGGGUUAUUUUUGGGUGUAGAAGUUCAUAGUUUAGGUCUGUUCGACCUUUGAAUCCUUACAUGAUCUGAGUUCAGACCGGCGUAAGCCAGGUCGGUUUCUAUCCUUAAUUAUAUAAAAAUAUUUUAGUACGAAAGGACCAAAUAUUUAGAAUAAUUCUUUUUAUUAGAAUAUUAUUAAUAAUAU